AGCGCCACAUCAAUGUCUCUGCUUAUUAAUGUUUACGCGUGAUUUAACUCGCGUAUAAAGGUUAAAUAGUUUUGGAGGUGAUCCCCUUCAUCCCCGAAACGCUUCAGUUGCUAAAGGUGGAGUCUACAUCCGUGAAUGUUACAGUGAUUAUUCAUUUUGAUCGUGGCCUAAUGGAGAACUCCUCUUCAGUGGUUUCGUAUCCCCCUCGAGCUCUCGGAAACGUGUGAAAUGAAUGAUGGAGAUAAAAACUUGGCUGUCGCACCUCACUUUGGCACGCUAAAGUGCCCCGUAUUGAUUUUUUUUUUUUUUUUCGAUCUCUUUUAAAUUCACGAGGAACAGUCUGGAAAAUUGCGAUUGCGUGAAAUCAAAUCAUUCUAGUUAAACAGCGAAAGAUUCUCUGAACUUGACAGCUUGUUCUAUUACAUCCACUGUUCGCCCCUUCGCAACCGUUGUAUCAAAACGAACGAGAGUUGUUUUUGAGAAAGCGUUACGGUAAUUUCUCUUUAAAAAGUUUGUUGUUGUUGUUAGUUUAGAAAACAAUUGAGGCGCCAGAGGGAGAAGGUAAAUGAUGUUCUACGCAAAUGAAUCCACGUGACAUUUUGCUUUCGACUGCAUAGACGGCGGCGACCUUUUGUUUUUAGUGCAACACCAGCCCAUUAGUUAGUUGGGCAUCAUCACAUGGUGUGGUGGCUUCCCUACUAUUCCAAGAAAUCCCAUCACGUCUUUGGCUGUCGAUUCUUGAAAAAACAUUAACGAUCGCUUUUUACGUUCAGUGCCUUCAUCUUUCAGCUGUAAACGCUGCAGGUUUUGACUGUCUAUGGAUGUCAAUUAUUCAUGGUAUGGUACACACGUGAAGAGAUGCAAGUCACGCAUGAAACGGUACGAUCAGCUUGCCUUUUACUACUAACAUGGAUAGUUCAUUUUCUCAUUAGAGCCAUCGUCUGCACAGAAACAUUCUCGCAAGAAAGACGUCGAUAAGAAGAUUGGGACAUCCAUUUAGUACAUUAUCAAUUUAUUGGGUAAAGCACCAUCUCUAAGGAUCCUACACGUCCCCUUUUCUCUGAGAUUAUAAUUCAUCGUCAGUAACAGUUGAAUACGAACAUUGUGAAAAUGACGUUGGAAAUGCGUGAUGGCGACAAGCUAUAGAAGAACGAAAAUUAGGUACGGAUAUCUAAAAUGGAGAAUGAGUCUGCCUAUUCGAACAUUUCUAAGACUACCAAGGAUCGCUGUUGUUGGCGGCUUACUAGGGAUAGAGCUUUUGAAACUAAGGCUCCAUAUCAGAGAGAAUUACGUGUGACACGUGGCUUCUUCAUCCACAUCAAAGUUAUCUACCCCAAGAGUACGGUCGCUUCUGGUGCCAAUGAAACGUACGCGAUAUAACCAUCUACGGACAACGGUCACGUCCACGAAAAAGACGGUGAAGUCCACGUCUAACUGACGGGAGGCAGAAACUAUAUACGAAAUUUUUACACGCAGGAAAUAAUGUUGAAGUCUUGAUUCUGACGUAUCCAGCCAUUUCCACGUUAUUUCUGUAACGUGGCGUUUAUCAUAACACGCAUCGACGAUGACCUGUAGUUGGAGACCAGAUGAGCAUUUUCGUCUAGAGAACGUACGAAAUGUUUCAUGACGGACUGUAGUCUUUGUGGUGAAUAUUGAUUUGAACAGCAUACAAUUGCGAAUCUACGAUUCGCAGACUGCAUCAAUGUGAAAAUCAUUGAAAUCGUCUUGUAACAGAUGUACUACAUUUGUUCAAGCAGAAUUGUUUUUUACACGACAUUAAGUGGGAAAUGCAGAUUGUCUGUCGUUGCUGUGAAAAAUUGCCUAAAUGUUUAAUCUUGUACUUUUUUUCACACAAGAAACCCAAAUAAUUUAUUUGACUUUUUUUGCUGUAAAAUUUCUGAAGAAAACAAAAUCUAACAACAAGGAAAAAUGAAGAGGAAAAGUUGGCCGACAUCAUAUUUUCUUUUUAAUGUUCCAGUUAAAAACGUCAGGAAACUGAUAACCUUUUGUAAGCAUUAUUUGCUGGCGAACGAUAUAUUGAAAUUUUCGUUAUUUCUGUAUUGCAUAUUCUGGAUUCGGCUUUGCUACUGGCAUUUGAAGAUUUGCUUUGAUACGCUGCUCACACGUCAUUUGUAGAAAUAUUAAUUUUGGUUAUUUGUCAUUGUGCUGAUAUUGUUCUAAUUUCUCAAUUCUUGAUUUAGAUAACUUGUAUUUACAAGACGAGAAGAAUGUAUAAGUCGCAUUGGCCGCGCUAGUCUUUAAUGUAACAUUAAUUUUGAUAAAAACAGUUAGUGUUCAGUGAACUUGAGGAAGUGAACGUAGUGCAGUAGCUAGAGCUCGGUCCCCAUUAUCUGAGACAGUUACUUAUUGCCGAAAGCUAUUGGUACAAUAGCUUAAAAAAA